rnacentral:rRNA from 1 species
GAUGAACGCUGGCGGCGUGCCUAAUACAUGCAAGUCGAGCGAACAGACGAGGAGCUUGCUCCUCUGACGUUAGCGGCGGACGGGUGAGUAACACGUGGAUAACCUACCUAUAAGACUGGGAUAAUUUCGGGAAACCGGAGCUAAUACCGGAUAAUAUAUUGAACCGCAUGGUUCAAUAGUGAAAGACGGUUUUGCUGUCACUUAUAGAUGGAUCCGCGCCGCAUUAGCUAGUUGGUAAGGUAACGGCUUACCAAGGCAACGAUGCGUAGCCGACCUGAGAGGGUGAUCGGCCACACUGGAACUGAGACACGGUCCAGACUCCUACGGGAGGCAGCAGUAGGGAAUCUUCCGCAAUGGGCGAAAGCCUGACGGAGCAACGCCGCGUGAGUGAUGAAGGUCUUCGGAUCGUAAAACUCUGUUAUUAGGGAAAAACAAAUGUGUAAGUAACUAUGCACGUCUUGACGGUACCUAAUCAGAAAGCCACGGCUAACUACGUG